rnacentral:tRNA from 1 species
GCCGAUUUAGCUCAGCGGUAGAGCAGCUGUAUUGUUAACCAGUUGGUCGUUGGUUCGAUCCCAAUAAUCAGCGCCA